GAUGCCCAGACAGCCACAUUUCACAAGCACCUUGUUAAAAAGCCAGGAGGCUUUAUUUACUCGACUUCAGACGCCUUACCCAUUUUUUUUUUUUUUUAUGGGGUUUUACAUGACCUUAUUAAAACGCAAUUUUAUGGUCUUCAUUGGAGGCGACACGAAAAGCAGGAACGCAGAAGCUGCCGUCUGCCACUGCUCACACCCAGAAACUCGCAUGCAGACUCACCGACUUCACUUCAAAGAAAAGUUUCCAAAUCAGGAUUCAGGUUUCAAGUUAGUCUUUUUGAUGACGAUUUUAAGGCCAGCGUGACAGUUUGAAACCGUUUCAAACAAGGGUUGUCCUCAAAAGGAGGGAUAAAUUGUCAAUCGAGAGUUUUAAAUUAGGGUUACAGUAAUAAUUGUUUAUUUUAUGAGAGGAAUAUUGUAUUAGAGAAGACGUUGUCUGUUACAUUAUUGUUUUUAGAUUUGGGUUUCAAGGCUGGGUUAUGAUUUCCAUGGAGGGUUAGGGUUUCAAAUUAAGGUUUCAAAGCAGUGAUGGGGCUUCAAAUCAGUUCCCGUAGGAAAUUGACUACGGGUAUGUAUUUCCUCAACUAAUAGGCGUGGCCCAAUUCGUCGCUGAGUAGACUUUUGAAAAUAUGGUUUCAAGACGGAAUUCAAGUUUCAACUCAGCGUUGGGUUUCAAGUUGAGUGCCUCCUCCUCUCAAAUGGGCUUCCUUUUCUGCUGGAAAAAAAAAACAAACAAAUUGCCAAGCAGACAAUUUGCCGCGGCCGGUUGAUGACAGCCAAUCAAACGCAUCCGUCAGCUGGCCCGCAUAAACACAAACUUGCUCGAUUUCAUCAGAACCUCAAAGCCAACUUUGAGUCGGACUUCUAACGAUGUCAUCAUCCGGCACUUGAUGGACUGACGGCCAGCCGCUGCCGCCGUCGUCGUCCAUCAAGCGGAAAGUUAACUGAUGAUCAGCGGCCCCGUUGGAGCGUUUUGCUGCAAUCAUCCAUCUUCCCGUCGCUAAUGGAGCCGCGCACGCAACUUGGAAGAACAAACAACGAGAGGAAACGCUGUUGCCGAGUAAAUAAGGGGCAGUGUUAAGAUGCUGUUGACAGUUUAGGUUCGGAAGAGAAUGGCCGAAGAAUCGUGAGCGACAGCGAGCCCGGCGUGACACUGAACGCCGCUCUGCUGGAAGCAUCCAUUCUCAUCACAUCACUGCCUCCAUCUGCACCAAAACAAACAAGGAGACUCGCAAACGCCGACGGAAUGACAAGCAGGCCAAAGCGCACGAGCUGGAAUCAAACCCACAGCCCCGCUUGGAAACGGGAGCGCUCCGUGCUCUGCCGCGGGUGAUUGACAAUCACGCGAUGGCAUCAUAAGGUUUGCUGCGGGAAAUGGUCCAAUUGUAAUAAUUUGCUCCGAAAAUUAUUUGCCGAGGGGUGUGUCAGAAAAGUGCCGGGACUGGCGUUGUUUUUCAAGAUACGAGCAGUCA